rnacentral:rRNA from 1 species
AGUUACGUCGUUUUACUAAGUAAGAACUAACACCGAAGGUAGGAGACGAAACCGAAGAGUAAAACUUUUACUAGUGGCGGACGGGUGAGUAACACGUGAAGAACCUGCCUUACAGAGGGGGCGAACAGCUGGAAACGGCUGCUAAUACCGCAUAAUACCAUUUUGGGGCAUCCUGAGAUGGUCAAAGGAGCAAUCCGCUGUAAGAUGGCUUCGCGUCCGAUUAGACAGUUGGCGGGGUAACGGCCCACCAAAUCUACGAUCGGUAGCCGGACUGAGAGGUUGAACGGCCACAUUGGGACUGAGACACGGCCCAGACUCCUACGGGAGGCAGCAGUGGGGGAUAUUGCACAAUGGAGGAAACUCUGAUGCAGCGACGCCGCGUGAGGGAAGAAGGUUUUCGGAUUGUAAACCUCUGUCUUCGGUGACGAAAAAUGACGGUAGCCGAGGAGGAAGCCACGGCUAACUACGUGCC